GACGAACGCUGGCGGCGUGCUUAACACAUGCAAGUCGAACGGAAAGGCCCUGCUUUUGUGGGGUGCUCGAGUGGCACACGGGUGUGUAACACGUGAGUAACCUGCCCUUGACUGUGGGAUAACUUCAGGAAACUGGGGCUAAUACCGGAUAGGAGCUCCUGCUGCAUGGUGGGGGGUGGAAAGUUUCGGCGGUUGGGGAUGGACUCGCGGCUUAUCAGCUUGUUGGUGGGGUAGUGGCUUACCAAGGCUUUGACGGGUAGCCGGCCUGAGAGGGUGACCGGCCACACUGGGACUGAGAUACGGCCCAGACUCCUACGGGAGGCAGCAGUGGGGAAUAUUGCACAAUGGGCGGAAGCCUGAUGCAGCAACGCCGCGUGCGGGAUGACGGCCUUCGGGUUGUAAACCGCUUUCGCUUGUGACGAAGCGUGAGUGACGGUAAUGGGUAAAGAAGCACCGGCUAACUACGUG
rnacentral:rRNA from 1 species